UACGAGGGGGGCAAGCGUUGUUCGGAUUUAUUGGGCGUAAAGGGUGCGUAGGCGGUUUGGCAAGUCUUGUGUGAAAUCUUUGGGCUCAACCCAUAGCCUGCAUUAGAAACUGUCGGGCUCGAGUCCGGGAGAGGUGAGUGGAACUGCGAGUGUAGAGGUGAAAUUCGUAGAUAUUCGCAAGAACACCAGUGGCGAAGGCGGCUCACUGGCCCGGUACUGACGCUGAGGUGCGAAAGCGUGGGGAGCAAACAGG
rnacentral:rRNA from 1 species